rnacentral:lncRNA from 1 species
UACCAUAGGGUGAUUGCAUUAGAAUGCACAAAGAUGUUGCAUUGCAUAGCUUCAUUGUUGGUGUGGGUAAAUGCUGAAUGAUCCAGUAGUUCCAGACAGGAAGACCAGGACCCCAUUCUACGGCCUGGCAGGUAAAGGAAGACCAGGACCCCAUUCUACGGCCUGGCGGGUAUAGACAAGUGGGCUAUACUGGCAAAGGGUAAGUACAGGUGUUAUAUACACAUAUACAUAUAUGGUACAGGAAGUCCAGGACCCCAGUCUACGGCCUGGCACGGAUUACUGGGAUUAUGUGGUGACAGGUUUACUCUUGAUGUGGUUUGUUUGUGUUAUGACGCAUUUCAUGAGAUCAUAUUUUACUGAGAUAUUUUACUGUUCUACUC